rnacentral:lncRNA from 1 species
GGAAAUUGUCACCUGCUCUUUGAAAACUUUGCUUUUUGCAAGGUAUUCUUCUCAGAUCUGAGUUGUACCUUGCCAGCACAAAAACAAAUAAAUAAAUAAAUCCCACAAUUCUUCACUGAACAAUAUUGAGAAACACAACUGUUCAAAGAGAAAUAAGUGCCAUGUUUUUGUCUGCAGCUGUUGUGUGGAUCUGACCUUAAUUGUAUUCAAAAUUCAAAAUUUGCAUUUACGAAAGAUAUACACCAUUAAAUACAUAUGUAAUUCUUUCCCUACUAUGUGCUGGAAUAAAGAAGCAGAUGUUCAACAGGCCAUGUUUUAGGGUGGUAUUGAUUCAUAUGUAGGAUGAUACAACUGGCUCUGGAACUCAACUUCAUCAUCUACGAGAAGAUGUGUGAAAGCAUGUGGCCUUGUGCCAGAGCAACCACAAGUGUGACAUCAAGAUGUUGGUGGAGUGUUUCAAGGAGUCACCCAGUAAAGCCAGCUUGAUGCCCUCAGAGCUACUGGUCAGUCUGAAAAGGACACUCAUGUGAAUGUCAACUGAAGGAGAUGUCCGUGCCCUGAGGUUUCCUCACUCCGACUAAUAGGCCAAGGAACACAUUCCUCUCUGCUCAUGUAAACUUAGGUCUUUAUUGCUACGCUGGUUUGU